rnacentral:rRNA from 1 species
AGCAUUCUCUGGUGUUGAAGGCCCUGCAAAGCAGCAUCGCGGUGGCGGAGCGUCGUUUGCGACGCCCAACACACAAAACAAGCGGUGAAUGCUUUGGGGUGGGGUGACUGCGUACCUUUUGUAUAAUGGGUCAGCGACUUAUAUUCUGUAGCAAGGUUAACCGAAUAGGGGAGCCGGAGGGAAACCGAGUCUUAAUUGGGCGUUAAGUUGCAGGGUAUAGACCCGAAACCCGGUGAUCUAGCCAUGGGCAGGUUGAAGGUUGGGUAACACUAACUGGAGGACCGAACCGACUAAUGUUGAAAAAUUAGCGGAUGACCUGUGGCUGGGGGUGAAAGGCCAAUCAAACCGGGAGAUAGCUGGUUCUCCCCGAAAGCUAUUUAGGUAGCGCCUCGUGAAUUCAUCUCCGGGGGUAGAGCACUGUUUCGGCUAGGGGGCCAUCCCGGCUUACCAACCCGAUGCAAACUGCGAAUACCGGAGAAUGUUAUCACGGGAGACACACGGCGGGUGCUAACGUCCGUCGUGAAGAGGGAAACAACCCAGACCGCCAGCUAAGGUCCCAAAGUCAUGGUUAAGUGGGAAACGAUGUGGGAAGGCCCAGACAGCCAGGAUGUUGGCUUAGAAGCAGCCAUCAUUUAAAGAAAGCGUAAUAGCUCACUGGUCGAGUCGGCCUGCGCG